AGUGAACGCUGGCGGUAGGCCUAACACAUGCAAGUCGAACGGCAGCACAGUAAGGGCUUGCUCUUACGGGUGGCGAGUGGCGGACGGGUGAGGAAUACAUCGGAAUCUACUUUUUCGUGGGGGAUAACGUAGGGAAACUUACGCUAAUACCGCAUACGACCUACGGGUGAAAGCAGGGGAUCUUCGGACCUUGCGCGAUUGAAUGAGCCGAUGUCGGAUUAGCUAGUUGGCGGGGUAAAGGCCCACCAAGGCGACGAUCCGUAGCUGGUCUGAGAGGAUGAUCAGCCACACUGGAACUGAGACACGGUCCAGACUCCUACGGGAGGCAGCAGUGGGGAAUAUUGGACAAUGGGCGCAAGCCUGAUCCAGCCAUACCGCGUGGGUGAAGAAGGCCUUCGGGUUGUAAGGCCCUUUUGUUGGGAAAGAAAAGCAGCAGGUUAAUACCCCGCUGUUCUGACGGUACCCAAAGAAUAAGCACCGGCUAACUUCGUG
rnacentral:rRNA from 1 species